AUUGAACGCUGGCGGCAGGCCUAACACAUGCAAGUCGAGCGGAUGAAGGGAGCUAGCUCCUGGAUUCAGCGGCGGACGGGUGAGUAAUGCCUAGGAAUCUGCCUGGUAGUGGGGGAUAACGUCCGGAAACGGGCGCUAAUACCGCAUACGUCCUGAGGGAGAAAGUGGGGGAUCUUCGGACCUCACGCUAUCAGAUGAGCCUAGGUCGGAUUAGCUAGUUGGUGGGGUAAAGGCCUACCAAGGCGACGAUCCGUAACUGGUCUGAGAGGAUGAUCAGUCACACUGGAACUGAGACACGGUCCAGACUCCUACGGGAGGCAGCAGUGGGGAAUAUUGGACAAUGGGCGAAAGCCUGAUCCAGCCAUGCCGCGUGUGUGAAGAAGGUCUUCGGAUUGUAAAGCACUUUAAGUUGGGAGGAAGGGCAGUAAGUUAAUACCUUGCUGUUUUGACGUUACCAACAGAAUAAGCACCGGCUAACUUCGUG
rnacentral:rRNA from 1 species